AUUGAACGCUGGCGGCAGGCUUAACACAUGCAAGUCGAGCGGGGGAAGGUAGCUUGCUACUGGACCUAGCGGCGGACGGGUGAGUAAUGCUUAGGAAUCUGCCUAUUAGUGGGGGACAACAUCUCGAAAGGGAUGCUAAUACCGCAUACGUCCUACGGGAGAAAGCAGGGGAUCUUCGGACCUUGCGCUAAUAGAUGAGCCUAAGUCGGAUUAGCUAGUUGGUGGGGUAAAGGCCUACCAAGGCGACGAUCUGUAGCGGGUCUGAGAGGAUGAUCCGCCACACUGGGACUGGGACACGGCCCAGACUCCUACGGGAGGCAGCAGUGGUGAAUAUUGGACAAUGGGGGGAACCCUGAUCCAGCCAUGCCGCGUGUGUGAAGAAGGCCUUAUGGUUGUAAAGCACUUUAAGCGAGGAGGAGGCUACUUUAGUUAAUACCUAGAGAUAGUGGACGUUACUCGCAGAAUAAGCACCGGCUAACUCUGUGCCAGCCGCCGCGGUAA
rnacentral:rRNA from 1 species